CGCGUAGGCGGAUCUGCAAGUCAAUUGUGAAAACCAGCAGCUUAACUGCUGGCCUGCACUUGAAACUGCUGAUCUUGAGUACGGGAGAGGAAAGCGGAAUUCCUGGUGUAGCGGUGAAAUGCGUAGAUAUCAGGAGGAACACCGGUGGCGAAGGCGGCUUUCUGGCCCGAUACUGACGCUGAGGCGCGAAGGCCGGGGGAGCAAACA
rnacentral:rRNA from 1 species